rnacentral:rRNA from 1 species
UACGGGGGGAGCAAGCGUUGUUCGGAUUUACUGGGCGUAAAGGGCGCGUAGGCGGCCAGCACAAGUCAGUUGUGAAAUCUCCGAGCUUAACUCGGAACGGUCAACUGAUACUGUGCGGCUAGAGUGCGGAAGGGGCAACUGGAAUUCUUGGUGUAGCGGUGAAAUGCGCAGAUAUCAGGAGGAACACCGGUGGCGAAGGCGGGUCUCUGGGCCGAUACUGACGCUGAGGAGCGAAAGCGUGGGGAGCGAACAGG